GUCUGUCGUUAGUUGCGAACGGAGUUACCGACCGAGUCUAUCGGAUGUGGCGCUUCGUACGUCCGUCAGAUGUUAGACCGGUGCGUUACUCGUGGAGGUGUUAAUUCAAGAAACCUUUGGACUAAUUUCUUGAAAAUUUAAUCGAGUCUUUCCACAUUCGCUGAUCGCGCAGUAAUACUGUCACUGGUGUAACGUCGUGUCGGUAACCGCGGCCAUCUUGAGACCCUUUGGACAGUUGGGAUGACGAAAUCGUAAGGGCACUGUCACGAAAUCAUAAACAAUUUAAGCAAGCAUAAGUGACAAGGCAACUGGAGGAGAUAAGGCGAAGGCACUGAUAGAGCCAACCCAAGUAACACUAACGGGUGUAUCAUUACAAGACGAACGUGUCUAAUGCGAUAAGUACUUCUUUAUCUAGCUUGUUUUUGGUAAUUGUGUAGACGCGCAAAAACUGCUGGAAAAGAACCGGGUAAGUUAACCCAAAAUACAAAUCUACGCAAGGUUCAAGUUCUUUCAGUGAAUUUUUACCGUAGUAGACGAUUCUAAAUGUUACCAAGAGCUAACCUAAAACUGGUGAAUAUACUUAAAAAAUUAUAAAGGGGUACUCGAGACUGAAUGCCAGUCCAAUCUGGUUACCAGUCUCUCGUUGGGGGCUGUAGGCGAAGUAUUUCUCAGAAUUACAGUCUCCACCACCACUGCCAGUAUUAUCCUAUUGCGCGAUACUACUCGUUGCAAGUCCUCGAGCGAACUCGGCUGUCUUAAUCUCAAAAGUGCCACGUGUUCGAUCAUACAUAUAUAUGCAUAUAUAAAUUGAAAUUUCACGCGCUCCAGGAAAAAUGACCAGAGUAGAAGGCGCUUAUAACAAGCGAGCUUAUGACCAGAUUGAACUGUGCUGCAUUGUCACUGUAUACGUAUCCACCAUAUCGUCAUAUUCGACGAAUCGCGACUGGCCUCCUAUAAACAUGCCUGAACCUGUCUCUAACGCCAAAGCAUCGCCGGUCGUCAGGACUCGGUUAAAUUUUCAAUUUCAACGACAGCCUCGUCGGAUUUCGACAAAGGCUCGUUCCUGUAUAAACCCGAAAAUAUCCAUCUCAGCCGGUAUGUUGAAACCUGGCAUAAGUUCUGGCCCGCCGCCAGGAAAACGGGAUGUGCUGGUGGAGGCCACGCCAAAGGCUGCCACGGCGUGGAGACAGUACCAGGAGUACCAGCAUCGGCACCAUCAUCGCCAUCAGCCGAGCAGACACAGCGGCCCAACGUCGGAGCCGCGUACACGUCUGUUCUCCUGUUGUCGGUGUCUAUUCGUCCGUCAUGGUUGCUGACACGGGUCUGAUGGCACGCCGAAAAUAUACCAACAUGUCACACGGCAACGGGAACCUCUUACAAAUCGACUGUAUCAUUCACUACAUGGACACUGCUAUUCAUCCGAAAACUGCCGGACGAGCUGGAGAAGGUCUCUAACCAAUUGGGCAUACACGCGUCAUGCAGAGAAACAAAAGCGGCCACAACCUCCACUUGGUCUCUCGGAGCAGCGUCCCCGUCGAGUCUCGAAGUGCGUAAAAAAGGUCGAAGCAGCCGCGUCUCUCAGUCACGCACCGACGUGGCCACAAUGGGCAAAGUCAUAAAUAGUCGGUGGGUAAGAGUGUCGGGUUAAAGCCGGGCCCACACGUGAACGACGCACCGGGUGCUUUUCCGUGAACGACCGAGUAUGACGGAGAAAUCGAUUUGAAUUUCGCGCGCUUCGUUCGUCUCGUCUUGCGACAGAAACGUAGGAAAUAAAUAAAGUUGAGAAAAAGUUUCGGCGAAUUAUCCAAAUCCUGAUUUAUAUCCCAUCGAGCGUUCUACGCGGAUAGACGAACGGAUCAACGAAGAUCCUAGAGGAAAUAAAUGAAAAGCAGCAGCCAACAAUAUUCCGAAAGAAUGUCUUCGAGUUUCGAAGUAUUUUUAGAUACAAUCUCGAUGGGCCCUCGAGGAACCAAUUUAUACGGCACUGACCCUUUUAUUCUCCAUCGUUUAUCACCGUACAAUGUUGUUCCAGCCAAAUUUAAAGAGAUCGACGAGUGACGUCAGACCUUACAAGAAUACAGAUACGGACGAAAGAAAAUUGAAAACUAAAGACAAGCAAUCAGCGACUGUCUUAAUAAAACAAUAACCCUGCUAAACGACAAAUAACCGUAUCGGGUAUACGUCUAAACUAAUAAUAAUUUCCCGAAGGGCUGGAAACCGACGCUGAGUAACGCAACGGUGAACGUAUUUACGGAGCAGGGCCUACCAGCAAUAAUAAACUUGGCGUAAUGGUAAA